rnacentral:lncRNA from 10 species
AGACCUUUUUUCUUGGGUCACAUUUUUUCUGCUUAAAACACAUUCUUCAGCAUUUUCUUUAGUGAGAGUUGUUUUGUGACAAAUUCUCUUAGUUACUGCUAAUGUAAAAGUGUCAUUCUCCCUUUAUUCUUGAAAAAUAUUUCCAAAUAGUUACUUUCUGUUAGUUUGUGGUCAGCAGAAUAAUGCUGCCACCCCAAAGUUGUCCACACCCUCAUGCCUGGAACCUAUCAAUAGGUUACAUUACACGGCAAAAGAAAACUUGCAGAUGUAAUUAAGGCUACUAGUAGAUGUAAUUAAGCCUACUGACCUUUGAAAAAGAGUACCUUGGAGUAUCCAGGUGGGUCCAAUCUAACUAAAGGGGCCUUUCAAAGCAGAGAACUUCCUGUGCCUUCAGUCAGACAUACGCAGCAGUAGCCGCAGCAGAAUAGAGAUACAGCAAAAGGGAAGAUCAAAAGAUUCCAAGCAUGAGAAGAAUUUGAGGUUCUAUUGCUGGCUCUAGAUAGAGGACCAGAGAGAGGCCUCCAGGAUCUGAUGGCUAUCCCCCGCUGACAGCCAGCAAAGAAACAGGAACUUCAGUCUUACAGCUGCAAGGAAUAAUUAAGGCUACUGGUAGAUGUAAUUAAGGCUACUGACCUUUGAAAAAGAGUACCUUGGAGUAUCCAGGUGGGUCCAAUCUAACUAAAGGGGCCUUUCAAAGCAGAGAACUUCCUGUGCCUUCAGUCAGAGAUACGCAGCAGCCGCCGCAGCAGAAUAGAGAUACAGCAAAAGGGAAGAUCAAGAUUCCAAGCAUGAGAAGAAUUUGAGGUUCUAUUGCUGGCUCUAGAUAGAGGACCAGAGAGAGGCCUCCAGGAUCUGAUGGCUAUCCCCCGCUGACAGCCAGCAAAGAAACAGGAACUUCAGUCUUACUGCUGCAAGGAAUAAUUAAGGCUACUGGUAGAUGUAAUUAAGGCUACUGACCUUUGAAAAAGAGUACCUUGGAGUAUCCAGGUGGGUCCAAUCUAACUAAAGGGGCCUUUCAAAGCAGAGAACUUUCUGUGCCUUCAGUCAGAGAUACGCAGCAGUAGCCGCAGCAGAAUAGAGAUACAGCAAAAGGGAAGAUCAAAAGAUUCCAAGCAUGAGAAGAAUUUGAGGUUCUAUUGCUGGCUCUAGAUAGAGGACCAGAGAGAGGCCUCCAGGAUCUGAUGGCUAUCCCCCACUGACAGCCAGCAAAGAAACAGGAACUUCAGUCUUACAGCUGCAAGGAACUGGAUUAUGCCAACAACCAUAUGAGCUUGAAAGUGAAUUCUUCCCAAAGCCUUCCGAUAAGAGCCCAGCUGGCUGACAGCUUGAUUUCAGCUUUGUGAAACUCAGAGCAGACAAACCAGUUGAGCCCACCUGGACUUCCUACCUACAGAACUAGUAAGAAGGAGUCCACCAGCCGAGGCUGGACCAACUGCUGAAAGUCAGAGUCCUGGAGGCCUUCAGGGCAGACCCCAGCCAAUCUACGCAGAGCAGCCUGGGGAGAAGACAGAAGAGGUGACACGUGUCAGACUGGGCCAUGUCAGAUCCCUAGAGUAACCUUAGAA